CCUACGGGUGGCAGCAGUGAGGAAUAUUGGUCAAUGGGCGCUAGCCUGAACCAGCCAAGUAGCGUGAAGGAUGACUGCCCUAUGGGUUGUAAACUUCUUUUAUAUGGGAAUAAAGUGCAGUAUGUAUACUGCUUUGCAUGUACCUUAUGAAUAAGGAUCGGCUAACUCCGUGCCAGCAGCCGCGGUAAUACGGAGGAUCCGAGCGUUAUCCGGAUUUAUUGGGUUUAAAGGGAGCGUAGGCGGGUUGUUAAGUCAGUUGUGAAAGUUUGCGGCUCAACCGGAAAAUUGCAGUUGAUACUGGCAUCCUUGAGUACAGUAGAGGUAGGCGGAAUUCGUGGUGUAGCGGUGAAAUGCUUAGAUAUAACGAAGAACGCCGAUGGCGAAGGCAGUUCACUGGACUGCAACUGACACUGAGGCUCGAAAGUGUGGGUAGCAAACAGGAUUAGAUACCCGAGUAGUC
rnacentral:rRNA from 1 species